rnacentral:rRNA from 1 species
CCUACGGGGGGCAGCAGUGAGGAAUAUUGGUCAAUGGCCGCAGGGCUGAACCAGCCAAGUCGCGUGAGGGAUGACGGUCCUAUGGACUGUAAACCUCUUUUGACAGGGAGCAAAGGGCUCCACGUGUGGCGUUUUGCGAGUACCUGUAGCAAAAGAAUCGGCUAACUCUGUGUACGCAGCCGCGGUAAUACGGAGGAUGCGAGCGUUAUCCGGAUUUAUUGGGUUUAAAGGGUGCGCAGGCGGAAAGUCAAGUCAGCGGUAAAAGUUCGGGGCUCAACCUCGUCGUGCCGUUGAAACUGGCGUUCUUGAGUGAGCGAGAAGAAUGCGGAAUGCGUGGUGUAGCGGUGAAAUGCAUAGAUAUCACGCAGAACUCCGAUUGCGAAGGCAGCAUACCGGCGCUCAACUGACGCUCAUGCACGAAAGCGUGGGUAUCGAACAGGAUUAGAUACCCCAGUAGUC